rnacentral:rRNA from 1 species
UACGUAGGGGGCAAGCGUUGUCCGGAAUCAUUGGGCGUAAAGCGCGUGUAGGCGGCCUUGUAAGUCCGUUCUGAAAGCCCGGGGCUCAACCCCGGGAGGCGGAUGGAUACUGCAAGGCUCGAGUACGGAAGAGGCGAGUGGAAUUCCUGGUGUAGCGGUGAAAUGCGUAGAGAUCAGGAAGAACACCGGUGGCGAAAGCGCUCUGCUGGACCUUAACUGACACUGAGGGACGAAAGCUAGGGGAGCGAAUGGG